GAUGAACGCUGGCGGCGUGCCUAAUACAUGCAAGUCGAGCGAACAGAUGAGGAGCUUGCUCCUCUGACGUUAGCGGCGGACGGGUGAGUAACACGUGGAUAACCUACCUAUAAGACUGGGAAAACUUCGGGAAACCGGAGCUAAUACCGGAUAAUAUAUUGAACCGCAUGGUUCAAUAGUGAAAGACGGUUUUGCUGUCACUUAUAGAUGGAUCCGCGCCGCAUUAGCUAGUUGGUAAGGUAACGGCUUACCAAGGCAACGAUGCGUAGCCGACCUGAGAGGGUGAUCGGCCACACUGGAACUGAGACACGGUCCAGACUCCUACGGGAGGCAGCAGUAGGGAAUCUUCCGCAAUGGGCGAAAGCCUGACGGAGCAACGCCGCGUGAGUGAUGAAGGUCUUCGGAUCGUAAAACUCUGUUAUUAGGGAAAAACAAAUGUGUAAGUAACUAUGCACGUCUUGACGGUACCUAAUCAGAAAGCCACGGCUAACUACGUG
rnacentral:rRNA from 1 species